AACGCGAAGAACCUUACCCAGGCUUGACAUGCACUAGACAGCGCCAGAGAUGGCGUCUCCCUUCGGGGCUGGUGCACAGGUGCUGCAUGGCUGUCGUCAGCUCGUGCCGUGAGGUGUUGGGUUAAGUCCCGCAACGAGCGCAACCCUUAUCAUUAGUUGCCAACACGUGAAGGUGGGAACUCUAAUGAGACUGCCCGGGUUAACCGGGAGGAAGGUGAGGAUGACGUCAAGUCCGCAUGGCCCUUAUGUCUGGGGCUACACACGUGCUACAAUGGCCGGUACAACAGGCAGCGAAACUGUGAAGUGAAGCAAAUCCCGAAAGCCGGCCCCAGUUCAGAUUGUAGUCUGCAACUCGGCUACAUGAAGAUGGAAUUGCUAGUAAUGGCGAGUCAGCAACAUCGCCGUGAAUACGUUCCCGGGCCUUGUACACACCGAGACGUA
rnacentral:rRNA from 1 species